UGGUUGGCAUAGCUUAGUUGCAGAGGACUGAAAAUCUUUGUGUCACCAUUAGUCAAAUGAUACUGAUACUUCGACAAUGGUCAACAUAGCUUAGUUGCAGAGGACUGAAAAUCCUUAUGUCACCAACCAUUAGUCAAAUGAUAAUGAAUGAUACUUCGGUAGAUGAUACUUUGGUAAUGGUCGGCAUAGCUCACUUGCUAGAGCAGAGGACUCAAAAUCCUCGGCCGGGAUAGCUCAGUUGGUAGAGCAGAGGACUGAAAAUCCUCGUGUCACCAGUUCAAAU
rnacentral:tRNA from 1 species